rnacentral:rRNA from 1 species
GGUUGGUGGUGCAUGGCCGUUCUUAGUUCGUGGAGCGAUCUGUCUGGUUAAUUCCGAUAACGAACGAGACUCUUGCCUGCUAAAUAGACGGCGUCGACCUCGUCGGCGACCGUUCGCUUCUUAGAGGGACAAGCGGCUUUUAGCCGCGUGAAGCAGAGAGCAAUAACAGGUCAGUGAUGCCCUCAGAUGUUCGGGGCCGCACGCGCGCUACACUGUUUGCAUCAGCGUGUUUCUCCCGCGCCGGCUGGCGUGGGCAACCCGUUGAACCGCAAACGUGCUAGGGAUCGGAGAUUGCAAUUGUUCUCCGUGAACGAGGAAUUCCUUGUACUGGCGAGUCAUCAGCUCGCGGGGAAUCUGUCCCUGCCCUUUGUACACACCGCCCGUCGCUACUACCGAUUGAGUGGUUUAGUGAGGCUCACGGACCGCGCGCGGCACACGGCGCCUUCGGGAGUCGCGCCGCGAGGUGGAAAGUGAGACGAACUUGAUCACUUCUAGGAAGUAAA